rnacentral:ncRNA from 2 species
UCGAAAAAAGGCGAUGGAGUUCGCCUAAACCGCCCCGGAAGCCCGGGGAUGAUGACUCCUGCCGACGC